AUUAUUAGACUAUUUCCUUGUGUGUUGUGCAUUACAAUUCAUAUUGACCAUUUUUCAGGACUGUUAGCGCAGACAAACCGAGGAACCACUUGACCAAGCAACCUCUCCUUAAAUCUUUUAUCAAGUCUCGGUGAAUUGUAAUCGACUUAAAUAUUUUUGACCAUUAAUGAAUUUAAUUUCUUUUGACCAGGAAUCAACAUCAGGAAACGGUACACCAUAUACACAUUCAGGAUUCUCUUUACCACAUUUUACCACUCUUUAAUAAUCCUGAAUGGCCAGACUCAUCAAUAGUUUGGUACCACACCUACACCGUACCCUUUUAUUUCAUCUCCAUGC
rnacentral:lncRNA from 1 species